CCUGGCUCACAUUGAACGCUUGGCGGCAUGGCUAAAACAUGCAAGUCGAGCGCGAAAGAGGGGCAACCUCGAGUAGAGCGGCGAAAGGGUGAGUAAUGCGUUCCUACGUGCCUUGAGGUCGAGGAUAGCCAGGGGAAACUCUGGGUAAUACUCGAUGUGGUCUACGGAUCAAAGGCUUGCCGCCUCAAGAGCGGGGAACGUCCUAUCAGGUAGUUGGUGAGGUAAAGGCUCACCAAGCCUUUGACGGGUAGCGGGUGUGAGAGCAUGGCCCGCCACAUCGGGACUGAGACACUGCCCGGACUCCUACGGGAGGCUGCAGUAACGAAUCUUCCGCAAUGCGCGAAAGCGUGACGGAGCAAUGCCGCGUGCAGGAUGAAGCCCCUCGGGGGUGUAAACUGCUGUCAGGGAUUAGCAACACAAUGAGCAGUCCCAAAGGAAGAGACGACUAACUCUGUGCCAGCAGUCGCGGUAAUACAGAGGUCUCGAGCGUUAGUCGGAAUCACUGGGCUUAAAGCGUGCGUAGGCGGGGAUGCAGGCGUCGUGUGAAAUCCCUCGGCUCAACCGAGGAACUGCACGGCGAACCGCAUCUCUUGAGAGAGGUAGGGGCGGUCGGAACGAUAGGUGGAGUGGUGAAAUGCGUUGAUAUCUAUCGGAACGCCGAAGGUGAAGACAGGCCGCUGGGCCUUCUCUGACGCUGAGGCACGAAAGCGUGGGUAGCGAACGGGAUUAGAUACCCCGGUAGUCCACGCCGUAAACGAUGUGCACUAGAUCGAGGGGAUUCUGACAUCAUUCUCGGUCGAAGCAAAAGUAUUGAGUGCACCGCCUGGGGAGUACGGUCGCAAGGCUAAAACUCAAAGGAAUUGACGGGGGCUCACACAAGCGGUGGAGCAUGUGGCUUAAUUCGAAGCAACGCGAAGAACCUUAUCCUGGGUUUGACAUGCAUGGAUUAGCCCGUGGAAACACGGGUGACACUCUCGUAGUGGAACAUGCACAGGUGCUGCAUGGCUGUCGUCAGCUCGUGCUGUGAAGUGUCGGGUUAAGUCCCUUAACGAGCGAAACCCCUAUCGCUAGUUGCUAACAGGUAAUGCUGAGGACUCUAGUGAGACUGCCGGUGUUAAACCGGACGAAGGUGGGGAUGACGUCAAGUCCUCAUGGCCUUUAUGCCCAGGGCUGCACACGUGCUACAAUGGUGCAAACAGAACGAUGCAAGACCGCAAGGUGGAGCAAAUCGCUUAAAAUGCACCCCAGUUCGGAUUGUGGGCUGCAACCCGCCCACAUGAAGUCGGAAUCGCUAGUAAUCGCGGAUCAGCUACGCCGCGGUGAUAUGUUCCUGAGCAUUGUACAC
rnacentral:rRNA from 1 species